rnacentral:rRNA from 1 species
GGAGGAUGCGAGCGUUAUCCGGAUUUAUUGGGUUUAAAGGGAGCGCAGACGGGUUUUUAAGUCAGCUGUGAAAGUUCGGGGCUCAACCUUGAAAUUGCAGUUGAUACUGGAGAUCUUGAGUGCAGUUGAGGCAGGCGGAAUUCGUGGUGUAGCGGUGAAAUGCUUAGAUAUCACGAAGAACUCCGAUUGCGAAGGCAGCUUGCUAAAGUGUAACUGACGUUCAUGCUCGAAAGUGUGGGUAUCAAA